UACGUAGGGUGCGAGCGUUGUCCGGAAUUAUUGGGCGUAAAGAGCUCGUAGGCGGUCUGUUGCGUCGAUCGUGAAAACUUGGGGCUUAACCCUGAGCUUGCGGUCGAUACGGGCAUGACUGGAGUUCGGCAGGGGAGACUGGAAUUCCUGGUGUAGCGGUGAAAUGCGCAGAUAUCAGGAGGAACACCGGUGGCGAAGGCGGCAUCCUGGACCGGCAUUGACGCUGAGGCGCGAAAGCUAGGGGAGCAAACGGG
rnacentral:rRNA from 1 species